AUUGAACGCUGGCGGCAGGCCUAACACAUGCAAGUCGAACGAGUGGCGGAUGGGUGAGUAAUGUCUGGGAAACUGCCUGAUGGAGGGGGAUAACUACUGGAAACGGUAGCUAAUACCGCAUACCAUCGGAUGUGCCCAGAUGGGAUUAGCUAGUAGGUGGGGUAAAGGCUCACCUAGGCGACGAUGCCUAGCCGGUCUGAGAGGAUGACCGGCCACACUGGAACGGAGACACGGUCCAGACUCCUACGGGAGGCAGCAGUGGGGAAUAUUGCGCAAUGGACGCAAGCCUGAUGCAGCAAUGCCGCGUGAGUGAAGAAGGCCUUCGGGUUGUAAAAUUCUUUCGGCGGGGAAGCGUUACCCAAAGAGAAAGCAACGGCUAACUCCGUGCCAGCAGCCGCGGUAAUAC
rnacentral:rRNA from 1 species